rnacentral:rRNA from 1 species
UACGGAGGGUGCAAGCGUUAUCCGGAUUCACUGGGUUUAAAGGGUGCGUAGGCGGAUAUGUAAGUCCGUGGUGAAAUCUCCGGGCUUAACCCGGAAAUGGCAUUGGAAACUACCUUGCUCGAGGAUUGGAGGGGGGACUGGAAUACUUGGUGUAGCAGUGAAAUGCGUAGAUAUCAAGUGGAACACCAGUGGCGAAGGCGAGUCCCUGGACAACUCCUGACACUGAGGCACGAAAGCUAGGGGAGCAAACGGG